rnacentral:lncRNA from 1 species
CUUUUUAGGGCCAAACCUGUGGCACAUGGAAGUUCCCAGGCUAGCGGGCAAAUUGGAGCUACAGCUGUGGGCCUACACCACAGCCACAGCAACACCAGAUCCGAGUCGCAUCUGCAAUUUACACCAUAGUUCACGGCAAUGCUGGAUCCCUGACCCACUGCGUGAGGCCCAGGAUUGCACAAGAGGAAAUCUGGACACGCAAAAGAUAUGCCAGGGAUGUGUGCCCAUAGAGGAAGGACCAUGCUGCCAACAGCUUGAUCUUGGACUCCCAGCCACCACAACUGGGAGAAGACAACUUUCUGUUGUUUGAGCCAGCUCGUCUGUGGUAUUUUGUUACGGCAACCCUAACACACUAUUACACGCCUUCACUAUGUGUAAGUACAGGUUCCCCAUCAGAUGGCCUUGUUACCUGAGCAUGAAGCAUGUCCCAUCGUGCCCCAGUCUGCAAGGGAGCUGUGCAUUUCUCAUCCUGAUAUGGCUCCCUAAACCUUCUAAAUGAUCUGCCAUUGACCCAAACGCCUCCAGCUGACAUGUAUACUCUGCACUGCAAGUUAACACAGUAUCUGUCUUAGUGAGUCACACCAGAAAAUAAGUCUGCAACAAUGAUUCACAAAUGAAUACAGAAACAUUUUGAAAUUUCACACUCUGUUUCUGUGACCCAGGGGGUGCCCUUUGCAUUGCCGGCUAAGUUAUGCAUGCCCUUUGUCCUUCAAUGUCAAGGCUCCAAGGUUCCUUCUCUAUUACACAUACACACACACACACACACACACACACACACACCAGGAGUUCCCACUGUGGCACAACGGGAUCAGCGCCAUCUUGAGAGCACUGGGACGAAGGUUCGAUCCCCGGCCCAGGAGAGUGGGUGGAGGAUCUGGCGUUGCCGAGGCUGCAGCUUGGGUUGCAACUGAGUCUCAUAUUUGAUCCCUGGCCCUGAGAACUCCACGUGCUGUGGGGUGGCCAAAAAAGAAAAAACAAACAAACAAAACCCACAGCACUUUUGGAUUCUCCCAAUAUUCCUAGGUUUUCAUUGUUGGUUUUCAGGAAGUAUCUCUCCAUACCUUGAGUCCCUGAAAUUGUUUGGAAUUGCAGGCUGACAAUACCUCUGUCAAUGCAUAAAUCUACCUCCUGGAAACAGCAGAUCUCCUUGGAUCUUCAUGAUUCUGUAGGACUCUGUAGAUUCCUAGGAUUUUGGAUCAGCAAAUAAAUGUCUUUUUAAGGGAUAAAGGCAUGUUCCUCCAAAUUAUUGGCACUACUGCUAUGGACUGUGGCCAAAGUCACCCAAACAUCCAGUGAUGGGUAUCAGCCACUCAGUCUCCAUCUAGCAGGGGCAUGGCCUGUCUUCAUCAUCAGAAUGGUUCUCCGAGGCUCUAAGAGCUAGAUUGUGGACGGGUCACAAGAGCUAGGACUCUGGGGUCAGACAGAUCUUGUUUGAAUCCCAGCCCCACUGUCACCCAUUUGGGCCUCUAGACUUCACCCAGAAAAUGGUGUUAGUAGCUCCUAUUUAACAAGACUCCAUGACAAUUAGAUGAAAUGGGUCAACAACACGUAGAAUAUGCAUUUAGCAGAGUGUCUAGUGCAGAGUAAGUCAUUGUUACACAUUAAUUCUCUCCCCCCGAUUUCCCUCCUUCCUCUGCAUCUACCCUCCUGGUGUGAAGGACAGGGUCUUCUGGUCUCCCUCCUGGUACCCUUGACCCUCCACUGAUGGAUGGGGGAUGCCAGAGCUGGGGGUGGAAAUCUGCAGUCCUUGCUGUCAGCAUCUGUAAGUGCAGCCACAACUGUACAUCAGCAACACAGCAUCUGGACCUCGCUCCACUGUGACACUCACUGCCCGGGGCCCCAGUCCCAAGGGGGCUGUUCUAAACAGGUUUUCUUCCAAAAGAAGAAAGAAACUGACGGAUGGUAAGUAAUUGAUCCCUGACGAGAGGUAGGGAGAGCGCC